AGAGUUUGAUCCUGGCUCAGGACGAACGCUGGCGGCGUGCCUAAUACAUGCAAGUCGAACGCUUCUUUUCCCACCGGAGCUUGCUCCACCGGGAAAAGAGGAGUGGCGAACGGGUGAGUAACACGUGGGUAACCUGCCCAUCAGAAGGGGAUAACACUUGGAAACAGGUGCUAAUACCGUAUAACAAUCGAAACCGCAUGGUUUCGUUUUGAAAGGCGCUUUACGGUGCCGCUGAUGGAUGGACCCGCGGUGCAUUAGCUAGUUGGUGAGGUAACGGCUCACCAAGGCCACGAUGCAUAGCCGACCUGAGAGGGUGAUCGGCCACAUUGGGACUGAGACACGGCCCAAACUCCUACGGGAGGCAGCAGUAGGGAAUCUUCGGCAAUGGACGAAAGUCUGACCGAGCAACGCCGCGUGAGUGAAGAAGGUUUUCGGAUCGUAAAACUCUGUUGUUAGAGAAGAACAAGGGUGAGAGUAACUGUUCACCCCUUGACGGUAUCUAACCAGAAAGCCACGGCUAACUACGUGCCAGCAGCCGCGGUAAUACGUAGGUGGCAAGCGUUGUCCGGAUUUAUUGGGCGUAAAGCGAGCGCAGGCGGUUUCUUAAGUCUGAUGUGAAAGCCCCGGCUCAACCGGGGAGGGUCAUUGGAAACUGGGAGACUUGAGUGCAGAAGAGGAGAGUGGAAUUCCAUGUGUAGCGGUGAAAUGCGUAGAUAUAUGGAGGAACACCAGUGGCGAAGGCGGCUCUCUGGUCUGUAACUGACGCUGAGGCUCGAAAGCGUGGGGAGCAAACAGGAUUAGAUACCCUGGUAGUCCACGCCGUAAACGAUGAGUGCUAAGUGUUGGAGGGUUUCCGCCCUUCAGUGCUGCAGCUAACGCAUUAAGCACUCCGCCUGGGGAGUACGACCGCAAGGUUGAAACUCAAAGGAAUUGACGG
rnacentral:rRNA from 1 species